UACGUAGGUGGCAAGCGUUGUCCGGAUUUACUGGGCGUAAAGAGCGCGCAGGCGGUCGUUCAAGUCGCGUGUGAAAGCCCCCGGCUCAACUGGGGAGGGUCACGCGAUACUGAUCGACUCGAAGGCAGGAGAGGGUAGUGGAAUUCCCGGUGUAGUGGUGAAAUGCGUAGAUAUCGGGAGGAACACCAGUGGCGAAGGCGGCAUCCUGGACCAAUUCUGACGCUGAUGAGCGAAAGCCAGGGGAGCAAACGGG
rnacentral:rRNA from 1 species